AGCGAACGCUGGCGGCAGGCCUAACACAUGCAAGUCGAACGAACCUUUCGGGGUUAGUGGCGGAAGGGUGAGUAACACGUGGGAACGUGCCUUUAGGUUCGGAAUAACUCAGGGAAACUUGUGCUAAUACCGAAUGUGCCCUUCGGGGGAAAGAUUAAUCGCCUUUAGAGCGGCCCGCGUCUGAUUAGCUAGUUGGUUGAGGUAAUGGCACACCAAGGCGACGAAUAGUAGCUGGUCAUAGAGGACGAUCAGCCACAUUGGGACUGAGACACGGCCCACAAUACCGCGGGACGCAGCAGUGGGGAAUCUUGCGCACAGGGCGAAAGCCUAACGCAGCCAUGCCGCGUGAAUGAGGAAUUUCAUAGGAGUGGCAACCAGUUAUAUCGGAGACGCUACUGACGGUACCCGGAGAAGAAGCCACGUCUAACUACGUG
rnacentral:rRNA from 1 species